rnacentral:rRNA from 1 species
GACGAACGCUGGCGGCGUGCUUAACACAUGCAAGUCGAACGAUGAAGCCGCUUCGGUGGUGGAUUAGUGGCGAACGGGUGAGUAACACGUGGGUAAUCUGCCCUGCACUCUGGGAUAAGCCUUGGAAACGGGGUCUAAUACCGGAUAUGACACGCGACCGCAUGGUCUGUGUGUGGAAAGUUCCGGCGGUGCAGGAUGAGCCCGCGGCCUAUCAGCUUGUUGGUGGGGUAGUGGCCUACCAAGGCGACGACGGGUAGCCGGCCUGAGAGGGUGACCGGCCACACUGGGACUGAGACACGGCCCAGACUCCUACGGGAGGCAGCAGUGGGGAAUAUUGCACAAUGGGCGAAAGCCUGAUGCAGCGACGCCGCGUGAGGGAUGAAGGCCUUCGGGUUGUAAACCUCUUUCAGUAGGGAAGAAGCGAAAGUGACGGUACCUGCAGAAG